AGGCGUGUAGCUCAAUUGGAAGAGCAGCUGACUCCAAAUCAGCAGGUCGGGGGUUCGAGCCCCUCCACGCCUG
rnacentral:tRNA from 1 species